UACAGGGGGGGUAAGCGUUGUUCGGAAUUACUGGGCGUAAAGGGCUCGUAGGCGGCCAACUAAGUCGGACGUGAAAUCCCUCAGCUUAACUGGGGAACUGCGUCCGAUACUGGAUGGCUUGGAUUUGGGAGAGGGAUGCGGAAUUCCAGGUGUAGCGGUGAAAUGCGUAGAUAUCUGGAGGAACACCGGUGGCGAAGGCGGCAUCCUGGACCAAUAUUGACGCUGAGGAGCGAAAGCCAGGGGAGCAAACGGG
rnacentral:rRNA from 1 species